rnacentral:rRNA from 1 species
UGCAAGUAGAACGCUGAAGAGAGGAGCUUGCUCUUCUUGGAUGAGUUGCGAACGGGUGAUUAACGCGUAGGUAACCUGCCUUGUAGCGGGGGAUAACUAUUGGAAACGAUAGCUAAUACCGCAUAACAAUGGAUGACACAUGUCAUUUAUUUGAAAGGGGCAAUUGUUCCACUACAAGAUGGACCUGCGUUGUAUUAGCUAGUAGGUGAGGUAAUGGCUCACCUAGGCGACGAUACAUAGCCGACCUGAGAGGGUGAUCGGCCACACUGGGACUGAGACACGGCCCAGACUCCUACGGGAGGCAGCAGUAGGGAAUCUUCGGCAAUGGGGGCAACCCUGACCGAGCAACGCCGCGUGAGUGAAGAAGGUUUUCGGAUCGUAAAGCUCUGUUGUAAGUCAAGAACGGGUGUGAGAGUGGAAAGUUCACACUGUGACGGUAGCUUACCAGAAAGGGACGGCUAACUACGUGCCAGCAGCCGCGGUAAUACGUAGGUCCCGAGCGUUGUCCGGAUUUAUUGGGCGUAAAGCGAGCGCAGGCGGUUUGAUAAGUCUGAAGUUAAAGGCUGUGGCUCAACCAUAGUUCGCUUUGGAAACUGUCAAACUUGAGUGCAGAAGGGGAGAGUGGAAUUCCAUGUGUAGCGGUGAAAUGCGUAGAUAUAUGGAGGAACACCGGUGGCGAAAGCGGCUCUCUGGUCUGUAACUGACGCUGAGGCUCGAAAGCGUGGGGAGCGAACAGGAUUAGAUACCCUGGUAGUCCACGCCGUAAACGAUGAGUGCUAGGUGUUGGAUCCUUUCCGGGAUUCAGUGCCGCAGCUAACGCAUUAAGCACUCCGCCUGGGGAGUACGACCGCAAGGUUGAAACUCAAAGGAAUUGACGGGGGCCCGCACAAGCGGUGGAGCAUGUGGUUUAAUUCGAAGCAACGCGAAGAACCUUACCAGGUCUUGACAUCCCGAUGCUAUUUCUAGAGAUAGAAAGUUACUUCGGUACAUCGGUGACAGGUGGUGCAUGGUUGUCGUCAGCUCGUGUCGUGAGAUGUUGGGUUAAGUCCCGCAACGAGCGCAACCCCUAUUGUUAGUUGCCAUCAUUCAGUUGGGCACUCUAGCGAGACUGCCGGUAAUAAACCGGAGGAAGGUGGGGAUGACGUCAAAUCAUCAUGCCCCUUAUGACCUGGGCUACACACGUGCUACAAUGGUUGGUACAACGAGUUGCGAGUCGGUGACGGCGAGCUAAUCUCUUAAAGCCAAUCUCAGUUCGGAUUGUAGGCUGCAACUCGCCUACAUGAAGUCGGAAUCGCUAGUAAUCGCGGAUCAGCACGCCGCGGUGAAUACGUUCCCGGGCCUUGUACACACCGCCCGUCACACCACGAGAGUUUGUAACACCCGAAGUCGGUGAGGUAACCUUUUGGAGCCA